rnacentral:tRNA from 1 species
UGCGCGGUAGAGCAGUCUGGUAGCUCGCCAGUCUCAUAAGCUGUGAGGUCGCGGGUUCGAAUCCCGCCUGCGCAAC